UACGGAGGGUGCAAGCGUUAUCCGGAUUCACUGGGCUUAAAGGGCGCGUAGGAGGGCAGGUAAGUCAGUGGUGAAAUCCCCGAGCUUAACUUGGGAACUGCCGUUGAUACUAUCUGUCUUGAAUAUUGUGGAGGUGAGCGGAAUAUGUCAUGUAGCGGUGAAAUGCUUAGAUAUGACAUAGAACACCAAUUGCGAAGGCAGCUCGCUACACAUAUAUUGACUCUGAGGCACGAAAGCGUGGGGAUCAAACAGG
rnacentral:rRNA from 1 species